UGAUUGAAUGGCUUAGUGAGGCCUCUGGAUUGGCUCUGCCUGGCUGGCAACGGCUGGGCGCUGUCGAGAAGCUGGUCAAACUUGGUCAUUUAGAGGAAGUAAAAGUCGUAACAAGGUCUCCGUAGGUGAACCUGCGGAGGGAUCAUUAAUGAAUGGCUUUUGGCCUUCAACUUCAAACCUGUGGAAGCAAGUUGUGCUUUGGCGCCAAGUCGCCUCAUUUAUGCAACAAAGUAUUUGUCUGAAUCAAAAAUGAGAAUUAAAACUUUCAACAAAGGAUCUCUUGGCUCUUGCAUCGAUGAAGAACGCAGCGAAGCGCGAAAUGUAGUGUGAAUCGCAGAACAUUGUGAAUCAUCGAAUCUUUGAACGCACAUUGCGCCUCCCUUUACCGGGAGGCAUGCCUGUCUGAGCGUCAUUUAACCCAUACCUUCUUGGUGUGUUGGGCCUCGCCCCAGUGGCGUAGCCUCAAAGUCAUUGGUCUAAGAGCGGACAAGAUCCAUUGGGACCGACCGUUUGGGACCGUAAACAUCUGACUUGACCUCAGAUCAGGUAGGGCUACCGCCUGAACUUAAGCAUAUCAAUAAGGCGAGGAACAGAAACCAACAGGGAUUCCCCCAGUAGUGGCGAAUGAAGCGGGAAAAGCUCAAGUUUGAAAUCUGAAGUCCACUUCAGAGUUGUAAGCUGAAGAGGUGUCGACCGACUUGGUCCGGGCCCAACUUCCUUGGAACAGGAGGUCAUGGAGGGUGAGAACCCCGUCUGUGGCUCGGGUGCCGUAGUCCUUGUGUCGUGCCCUCGAAGAGUCGAGUUGUUUG
rnacentral:rRNA from 1 species